rnacentral:rRNA from 1 species
AAUAUUGCACAAUGGAGGGAACUCUGAUGCAGCGACGCCGCGUGAACGAUGAAGGCCUUCGGGUCGUAAAGUUCUGUCCUUGGGGAAGAUAAUGACGGUACCCGAGGAGGAAGCCCCGGCUAACUACGUGCCAGCAGCCGCGGUAAUACGUAGGGGGCGAGCGUUGUCCGGAAUUAUUGGGCGUAAAGGGUUCGCAGGCGGCCUAAAAAGUCAUAUGUGAAAGGUAAGGGCUCAACCCUUGCAAGCAUAUGAAACUUUUAGGCUUGAGUUAAGGAGAGGAAAGUGGAAUUCCUAGUGUAGCGGUGAAAUGCGUAGAUAUUAGGAGGAAUACCAGUGGCGAAGGCGACUUUCUGGACUUAUACUGACGCUGAGGAACGAAAGCGUGGGGAGCAAACA